UACGGAGGUUGCAAGCGUUGUUCGGAAUUACUGGGCGUAAAGGGGGCGCAGGCGGUCAGGUAAGUGGAAAGUGAAAUCCCGGGGCUCAACCCCGGACGUGCUUUCCAUACUGCCUGGCUGGAGUUCGGAAGAGGAGGGCGGAAUUCCAGGUGUAGCGGUGAAAUGCGUAGAUAUCUGGAGGAACACCUAUGGCGAAAGCAGCCUUCUGGUCCGAAACUGACGCUCAUGCCCGAAAGCGUGGGGAGCAAACAGGAUUAGAUACCCUGGUAGUCCACGCCGUAAACGUUGUGCACUAGGUGUGGGAGGUGUCGACCCCUUCCGUGCCGUAGCUAACGCAUUAAGUGCACCGCCUGGGGAGUACGCCCGCAAGGGUGAA
rnacentral:rRNA from 1 species